rnacentral:rRNA from 1 species
UACGGAGGGGGCUAGCGUUGUUCGGAAUUACUGGGCGUAAAGCGCACGUAGGCGGCCUGUUGCGUCCGCUGUGAAAGCCCGGGGCUUAACCCCGGGUCGGCAGUGGAUACGGGCAGGCUAGAGGUAGGUAGGGGAGAAUGGAAUUCCCGGUGUAGCGGUGAAAUGCGCAGAUAUCGGGAGGAACACCGGUGGCGAAGGCGGUUCUCUGGGCCUUACCUGACGCUGAGGAGCGAAAGCGUGGGGAGCGAACAGG